rnacentral:rRNA from 1 species
GAUGAACGCUGGCGGCGUGCCUAAUACAUGCAAGUCGAGCGAACAGACGAGGAGCUUGCUCCUCUGACGUUAGCGGCGGACGGGUGAGUAACACGUGGAUAACCUACCUAUAAGACUGGGAUAACUUCGGGAAACCGGAGCUAAUACCGGAUAAUAUAUUGAACCGCAUGGUUCAAUAGUGAAAGACGGUUUUGCUGUCACGUAUCGAUGGAUCCGCGCCGCAUUAGCUAGUUGGUAAGGUAACGGCUUACCAAGGCAACGAUGCGUAGCCGACCUGAGAGGGGGAUCGGCCACACUGGAACUGAGGGACGGUCCAGACUCCUACGGGAGGCAGCAGUAGGGAAUCUUCCGCAAUGGGCGCAAGCCUGACGGAGCAACGCCGCGUGAGUGAUGAAGGUCUUCGGAUCGUAAAACUCUGUUAUUAGGGAAGAACAAAUGUGUAAGUAACUAUGCACGUCUUGACGGUACCUAAUCAGAAAGCCACGGCUAACUACGUG